rnacentral:lncRNA from 1 species
GUUGUUAGUUCCUCCUGUCUGGAGUUGUUCAUUCCUCCCGGUGGGUUCGUGGUCUCGCUGGCCUCAGGAGUGAAGCUGCAGACCUUCGCAGUGAGUGUUACAGCUCAUAACGGCAGUGCGGACCCAGAGUGAGCAGCAGCAGCAAGAUUUAUUGCAAAGACUGAAAGAACAAAGCUUCCACAGUGUCAAAGGGGACCCGAGCAGGUUGCCGCUGCUGGCUUGGGCAGCCUGCUUUUAUUCCCUUAUCUGGCCCCACCCGCAUCCUGCUGAUUGGUCCAUUUUACAGAGAGCUGAUUGGUCCGUUUUGACAGGGUGCUGAUUGGUGCGUUUACAAUCCCUGAGCUAGACACAGAAUGCUGAUUGGUGCAUUUACAAUCCUCUAGCUAGACAUAAAAGUUCUCCAAGUC